rnacentral:rRNA from 1 species
AUUGUACGCUGGCGGCAGGCUUAACACAUGCAAGUCGAGCGGAGAUGAGGUGCUUGCACCUUAUCUUAGCGGCGGACGGGUGAGUAAUGCUUGGGAAUCUGCCUAUUAGUGGGGGACAACAUUCCGAAAGGAAUGCUAAUACCGCAUACGUCCUACGGGAGAAAGCAGGGGAUCUUCGGACCUUGCGCUAAUAGAUGAGCCUAAGUCGGAUUAGCUAGUUGGUGGGGUAAAGGCCUACCAAGGCGACGAUCUGUAGCGGGUCUGAGAGGAUGAUCCGCCACACUGGGACUGAGACACGGCCCAGACUCCUACGGGAGGCAGCAGUGGGGAAUAUUGGACAAUGGGGGGAACCCUGAUCCAGCCAUGCCGCGUGUGUGAAGAAGGCCUUAUGGUUGUAAAGCACUUUAAGCGAGGAGGAGGCUACUGAGACUAAUACUCUUGGAUAGUGGACGUUACUCGCAGAAUAAGCACCGGCUAACUCUGUGCCAGCCGCCGCAGUAA